GGGGAAUUUUCCGCAAUGGGCGAAAGCCUGACGGAGCAAUACCGCGUGAGGGAUGAAGGCCUAUGGGUUGUAAACCUCUUUUUUCAGGGAGGAAUCAAUGACGUGUACUUGAAGAAUAAGCAUCGGCUAACUCCGUGCCAGCAGCAGCGGUCAUACGGGGGCCCCGAGCGUUAUCCGGUCUUAUUGGGCGUAAAGAGUGCGUAGGUGGGUAGGUAAGUCUUGGGUCAAAGAUCCCGGCUCAACCGGGAGAAGGCCUGGGAAACUACUUACCUUGGACAUGGGAGGGGAAGGUGGAAUUCCGGGAGGAGGGGUUAAAUCCAAUGAUCUCCGGAGGAACACCGAAGGCGAAGGCAACCUUCUGGCCCAUUGUCGACACUGUGGCACGAAAGCUAGGGUAGCAAAAGGGAUUAGAUACCCCUGUAGUC
rnacentral:rRNA from 1 species